rnacentral:rRNA from 1 species
GUUGACCUCGAAUCAGGUUCUUGGUCAUUUAGAGGAAGUAAAAGUCGUAACAAGGUCUCCGUUGGUGAACCAGCGGAGGGAUCAUUAUCGAGUUAUUCAACUCCCAAACCCUAUGUGAACUUACCACUUGUUGCUUCGGCGCGCGCUUCGGCGCCGCCGAGGACACUUAAACUCUUUGUUUUUAUAAGCAUUUCUGAGUGGCCGAAAGGCAAAAAUACAAAUGAAUCAAAACUUUCAACAACGGAUCUCUUGGUUCUGGCAUCGAUGAAGAACGCAGCGAAAUGCGAUAAGUAAUGUGAAUUGCAGAAUUCAGUGAAUCAUCGAAUCUUUGAACGCACAUUGCGCCCGCCAGCAUUCUGGCGGGCAUGCCUGUUCGAGCGUCAUUUCAACCCUCGAGCCCGACUCUUUUGAGGACGGCUCGGCGUUGGGGGACGGCAGACUCCCCCCGGCAUCUCGCCGGGGACGCCGCCCCCGAAAUCUAGUGGCGGCCCUCCGAGGCGACCUCUGCGUAGUAACUUGUUCUCGCACCGGAAAGCUCAGAGCGGCCACGCCGUAAAACCCCAACUUUUUUCAGGUUGACCUCGAAUCAGGU